rnacentral:rRNA from 1 species
UGGGGAAUUUUGGACAAUGGGCGAAAGCCUGAUCCAGCAAUGCCGCGUGUGUGAAGAAGGCCUUCGGGUUGUAAAGCACUUUUGUCCGGAAAGAAAUCCUUGGCUCUAAUACAGUCGGGGGAUGACGGUACCGGAAGAAUAAGCACCGGCUAACUACGUGCCAGCAGCCGCGGUAAUACGUAGGGUGCAAGCGUUAAUCGGAAUUACUGGGCGUAAAGCGUGCGCAGGCGGUUUGCUAAGACCGAUGUGAAAUCCCCGGGCUCAACCUGAGAACUGCAUUGGUGACUGGCAGGCUAGAGUAUGGCAGAGGGGGGUAGAAUUCCACGUGUAGCAGUGAAAUGCGUAGAGAUGUGGAGGAAUACCGAUGGCGAAGGCAGCCCCCUGGGCCAAUACUGACGCUCAUGCACGAAAGCGUGGGGAGCAAACAGGAUUAGAUACCCUGGUAGUCCACGCCCUAAACGAUGUCAACUAGUUGUUGGGGAUUCAUUUCCUUAGUAACGUAGCUAACGCGUGAAGUUGACCGCCUGGGGAGUACGGUCGCAAGAUUAAAACUCAAAGGAAUUGACGGGGUCAUAGCUGUUUCCU